rnacentral:rRNA from 1 species
UACGUAGGGUGCAAGCGUUGUCCGGAAUUAUUGGGCGUAAAGGAGCUUGUAGGCGGUUUGUCGCGUCUGCUGUGAAUUUCGGGCUCACCCGAACUUGCAGUGGGUACGGGCAGACUAGAGUGUGGUAGGGGGAGACUGGAAUUCCUGGUGUAGCGGUGAAAUGCGCAGAUAUCAGGAGGAACACCGAGUGGCGAAGGCAGGUCUCUGGGCCAUAACUGACGCUGAGGAGCGAA